rnacentral:piRNA from 1 species
UGACAGUGUUCAAAUCUUUGGCUUUAUCAUA